rnacentral:rRNA from 1 species
AUUGAACGCUGGCGGCAGGCCUAACACAUGCAAGUCGAGCGGAUGAAGGGAGCUUGCUCCUGGAUUCAGCGGCGGACGGGUGAGUAAUGCCUAGGAAUCUGCCUGGUAGUGGGGGCUAACGUCCGGAAACGGGCGCUAAUACCGCAUACGUCCUGAGGGAGAACGUGGGGGAUCUUCGGACCUCACGCUAUCAGAUGAGCCUAGGUCGGAUUAGCUAGUUGGUGGGGUAAAGGCCUACCAAGGCGACGAUCCGUAACUGGUCUGAGAGGAUGAUCAGUCACACUGGAGCUGAGACACGGUCCAGACUCCUACGGGAGGCAGCAGUGGGGAAUAUUGGACAAUGGGCGAAAGCCUGACCCAGCCAUGCCGCGUGUGUGAAGAAGGUCUUCGGAUUGUAAAGCACUUUAAGUUGGGAGGAAGGGAAGUAAGUUAAUACCUGGCUGUUUUGACGGUACCAACAGAAUAAGCACCGGCUAACUUCGUG